UUUUGUAUAAUGGGUCAGCGACUUAUAUUCUGUAGCAAGGUUAACCGAAUAGGGGAGCCGAAGGGAAACCGAGUCUUAACUGGGCGUUAAGUUGCAGGGUAUAGACCCGAAACCCGGUGAUCUAGCCAUGGGCAGGUUGAAGGUUGGGUAACACUAACUGGAGGACCGAACCGACUAAUGUUGAAAAAUUAGCGGAUGACUUGUGGCUGGGGGUGAAAGGCCAAUCAAACCGGGAGAUAGCUGGUUCUCCCCGAAAGCUAUUUAGGUAGCGCCUCGUGAAUUCAUCUCCGGGGGUAGAGCACUGUUUCGGCAAGGGGGUCAUCCCGACUUACCAACCCGAUGCAAACUGCGAAUACCGGAGAAUGUUAUCACGGGAGACACACGGCGGGUGCUAACGUCCGUCGUGAAGAGGGAAACAACCCAGACCGCCAGCUAAGGUCCCAAAGUCAUGGUUAAGUGGGAAACGAUGUGGGAAGGCCCAGACAGCCAGGAUGUUGGCUUAGAAGCAGCCAUCAUUUAAAGAAAGCGUAAUAGCUCACUGGUCGAGUCGGCCUGCGCGGAAGAUGUAACGGGGCUAAACCAUGCACCGAAGCUGCGGCAGCGACGCUUAUGCGUUGUUGGGUAGGGGAGCGUUCUGUAAGCCUGCGAAGGUGUGCUGUGAGGCAUGCUGGAGGUAUCAGAAGUGCGAAUGCUGACAUAAGUAACGAUAAAGCGGGUGAAAAGCCCGCUCGCCGGAAGACCAAGGGUUCCUGUCCAACGUUAAUCGGGGCAGGGUGAGUCGACCCCUAAGGCGAGGCCGAAAGGCGUAGUCGAUGGGAAACAGGUUAAUAUUCCUGUACUUGGUGUUACUGCGAAGGGGGGACGGAGAAGGCUAUGUUGGCCGGGCGACGGUUGUCCCGGUUUAAGCGUGUAGGCUGGUUUUCCAGGCAAAUCCGGAAAAUCAAGGCUGAGGCGUGAUGACGAGGCACUACGGUGCUGAAGCAACAAAUGCCCUGCUUCCAGGAAAAGCCUCUAAGCAUCAGGUAACAUCAAAUCGUACCCCAAACCGACACAGGUGGUCAGGUAGAGAAUACCAAGGCGCUUGAGAGAACUCGGGUGAAGGAACUAGGCAAAAUGGUGCCGUAACUUCGGGAGAAGGCACGCUGAUAUGUAGGUGAAGCGACUUGCUCGUGGAGCUGAAAUCAGUCGAAGAUACCAGCUGGCUGCAACUGUUUAUUAAAAACACAGCACUGUGCAAACACGAAAGUGGACGUAUACGGUGUGACGCCUGCCCGGUGCCGGAAGGUUAAUUGAUGGGGUUAGCGGUAACGCGAAGCUCUUGAUCGAAGCCCCGGUAAACGGCGGCCGUAACUAUAACGGUCCUAAGGUAGCGAAAUUCCUUGUCGGGUAAGUUCCGACCUGCACGAAUGGCGUAAUGAUGGCCAGGCUGUCUCCACCCGAGACUCAGUGAAAUUGAACUCGCUGUGAAGAUGCAGUGUACCCGCGGCAAGACGGAAAGACCCCGUGAACCUUUACUAUAGCUUGACACUGAACAUUGAGCCUUGAUGUGUAGGAUAGGUGGGAGGCUUUGAAGUGUGGACGCCAGUCUGCAUGGAGCCGACCUUGAAAUACCACCCUUUAAUGUUUGAUGUUCUAACGUUGGCCCCUGAUCGGGGUUGCGGACAGUGUCUGGUGGGUAGUUUGACUGGGGCGGUCUCCUCCUAAAGAGUAACGGAGGAGCACGAAGGUUGGCUAAUCCUGGUCGGACAUCAGGAGGUUAGUGCAAUGGCAUAAGCCAGCUUGACUGCGAGCGUGACGGCGCGAGCAGGUGCGAAAGCAGGUCAUAGUGAUCCGGUGGUUCUGAAUGGAAGGGCCAUCGCUCAACGGAUAAAAGGUACUCCGGGGAUAACAGGCUGAUACCGCCCAAGAGUUCAUAUCGACGGCGGUGUUUGGCACCUCGAUGUCGGCUCAUCACAUCCUGGGGCUGAAGUAGGUCCCAAGGGUAUGGCUGUUCGCCAUUUAAAGUGGUACGCGAGCUGGGUUUAGAACGUCGUGAGACAGUUCGGUCCCUAUCUGCCGUGGGCGCUGGAGAACUGAGGGGGGCUGCUCCUAGUACGAGAGGACCGGAGUGGACGCAUCACUGGUGUUCGGGUUGUCAUGCCAAUGGCACUGCCCGGUAGCUAAAUGCGGAAGAGAUAAGUGCUGAAAGCAUCUAAGCACGAAACUUGCCCCGAGAUGAGUUCUCCCUGAGACUUUAAGUCUCCUGAAGGAACGUUGAAGACGACGACGUUGAUAGGCCGGGUGUGUAAGCGCAGCGAUGCGUUGAGCUAACCGGUACUAAUGAACCGUGAG
rnacentral:rRNA from 1 species